UCUCAUUUAAAAAAUAUACCGUAAAUAUACUGACAAAUUAUUUGUAUUCAUAAUUCUAUCAUAUUCCUCGACUUUUGUGUUCGGUUGGAUAUUACUAGUUAGCUAGGACCCUCAGGUCUGAGCACAUAAUUUUAUCUUACUAAUAAAUGUAUUUUCUACAAGACUGGUUCAAAUUGUGUUUUCAUCUUUAUUGCAUUUCUUAUAAAAUAUGAUUUUAGGAAAACCGGUCAACAACAAUUUGCACUACAUUUAUUUCCAUACAUGCGACACCUGGAAAAAUAUUUUGCCCGUUUUUUUUCAUAUAAACCCCAUGGAAGCGCCAGAGUGAAAAACCUCCGUUAUCCACUUUUUGACAUGCCUUUUCUUCGACAUUU